rnacentral:lncRNA from 1 species
CGCAUUGCGCCUUUUCGUGGCAGACUAAAUACGAAUGAUAAUAAGGUCAGGAAAUGCUGGGCAUUUGAUCCGCAUUGCGCAGAUUGCCCAGCUAUUGAAUCAGCAGACCACAUCAUUCUACGCUGCAAGUUGGCAUAUGAGAUUUGGAAGAAAAUCAACCUAUUUGAUCAGGCCGCCCAUCGUUCUACGCUGCAAGCCACCCAGAGUGCAGAUAUACUCCAGUUCGUUGAGGAGGGACUGUUGGCUACACCGGUGCAUCUAAAACCUGGAUGGCCUAUUUGCUUCGCUGCUUGUUCACACAGUUUAUGGAAAGCACGCAAUCAAAAAACAUUCAACCAAAGAGAGUAUACAGCGGCUGCCGUGAUGCACCAAAUCAGAGAAUGUCUGCAAAUGUGGGAGAACCGCGUCAAGCCACAAUGCCGGACUCUAAUGCGCAGUUGGGCUGCCUUGCUAGCAUAG